rnacentral:tRNA from 2 species
GUGAUGAAAGUAUGUAAGAACAUACUUGGUAAGGGAGAGGCCGAGAGUUCAAAUCUCUCUAGCAGCACCA